rnacentral:rRNA from 1 species
AUGUUUGGCAUCCACGAAGCAUGGCUUGAUGCCCCUGUGCAUAAAAAAUCAUCAGAUAUGGACGUCCACCAGCUGAUUACCAACAAUGAUGUGGAUCUUAGGGUGGCCAUUGUGUGGGGAACUAGUGGUGAUCUCGGGAAGACGUCUGCCAUCCAAGAGGUAUUGAAAUGGUUUGGGAUCUGUGCUUGGAUUAGGUUGAUGCAUCCUUUCAAUCCACGAGAGUUCCUCCGGAGUUUGAUAAGGGAAUUUAAUGGAAACUCCUGUGAUGAGCUUGGAAAGUCAAAACAAGAAACAAGUGUCGAGAAGAUGGAUCAAAGUGAUUUAGUCCGUGUGUUUGAUGCAUGCACAGUUGUGUAG